rnacentral:rRNA from 1 species
AUUGAACGCUGGCGGCAUGCCUUACACAUGCAAGUCGAACGGUAACAGCACUUCGGUGGCUGACGAGUGGCGAACGGGUGAGUAAUACAUCGGAACGUGCCCGAGAGUGGGGGAUAACGCAGCGAAAGCUGUGCUAAUACCGCAUACGAUCUACGGAUGAAAGCAGGGGAUUCGCAAGGACCUUGCGCUCAUGGAGCGGCCGAUGGCAGAUUAGGUAGUUGGUGGGAUAAAAGCUUACCAAGCCGACGAUCUGUAGCUGGUCUGAGAGGACGACCAGCCACACUGGGACUGAGACACGGCCCAGACUCCUACGGGAGGCAGCAGUGGGGAAUUUUGGACAAUGGGCGAAAGCCUGAUCCAGCCAUGCCGCGUGCAGGAUGAAGGCCUUCGGGUUGUAAACUGCUUUUGUACGGAACGAAAAGAUCUCUUCUAAUAAAGGGGGUCCAUGACGGUACCGUAAGAAUAAGCACCGGCUAACUACGUG